rnacentral:rRNA from 1 species
GGUGCUUGCAUCAUGAUUUACAUUUGAGUGAGUGGCGAACUGGUGAGUAACACGUGGGAAACCUGCCCAGAAGCGGGGGAUAACACCUGGAAACAGAUGCUAAUACCGCAUAACAACUUGGACCGCAUGGUCCGAGYUUGAAAGAUGGCUUCGGCUAUCACUUUUGGAUGGUCCCGCGGCGUAUUAGCUAGAUGGUGRGGUAACGGCUCACCAUGGCAAUGAUACGUAGCCGACCUGAGAGGGUAAUCGGCCACAUUGGGACUGAGACACGGCCCAAACUCCUACGGGAGGCAGCAGUAGGGAAUCUUCCACAAUGGACGAAAGUCUGAUGGAGCAACGCCGCGUGAGUGAAGAAGGGUUUCGGCUCGUAAAACUCUGUUGUUAAAGAAGAACAUAUCUGAGAGUAACUGUUCAGGUAUUGACGGUAUUUAACCAGAAAGCCACGGCUAACUACGUGCCAGCAGCCGCGGUAAUACGUAGGUGGCAAGCGUUGUCCGGAUUUAUUGGGCGUAAAGCGAGCGCAGGCGGUUUUUUAAGUCUGAUGUGAAAGCCUUCGGCUCAACCGAAGAAGUGCAUCGGAAACUGGGAAACUUGAGUGCAGAAGAGGACAGUGGAACUCCAUGUGUAGCGGUGAAAUGCGUAGAUAUAUGGAAGAACACCAGUGGCGAAGGCGGCUGUCUGGUCUGUAACUGACGCUGAGGCUCGAAAGUAUGGGUAGCAAACAGGAUUAGAUACCCUGGUAGUCCAUACCGUAAACGAUGAAUGCUAAGUGUUGGAGGGUUUCCGCCCUUCAGUGCUGCAGCUAACGCAUUAAGCAUUCCGCCUGGGGAGUACGGCCGCAAGGCUGAAACUCAAAGGAAUUGACGGGGGCCCGCACAAGCGGUGGAGCAUGUGGUUUAAUUCGAAGCUACGCGAAGAACCUUACCAGGUCUUGACAUACUAUGCAAAUCUAAGAGAUUAGACGUUCCCUUCGGGGACAUGGAUACAGGUGGUGCAUGGUUGUCGUCAGCUCGUGUCGUGAGAUGUUGGGUUAAGUCCCGCAACGAGCGCAACCCUUAUUAUCAGUUGCCAGCAUUAAGUUGGGCACUCUGGUGARACUGCCGGUGACAAACCGGAGGAAGGUGGGGAUGACGUCAAAUCAUCAUGCCCCUU